rnacentral:tRNA from 1 species
CAAGGAAUAGUUUAAUUAGAACUCCGGCUUUGGGGGUCGGAAGUGGGGCUAGAGCCUUUUCCUUGA